UACGGGGGGGGCAAGCGUUGUUCGGAAUUACUGGGCGUAAAGGACUCGUAGGUGGCCAACUAAGUCAGACGUGAAAUCCCCAGGCUUAACCUGGGAACUGCGUCUGAUACUGGAUGGCUUGAAUUCGGGAGAGGGAUGCAGAAUUCCAGGUGUAGCGGUGAAAUGCGUAGAUAUCUGGAGGAAUACCGGUGGCGAAGGCGGCAUCCUGGACCGAGAUUGACACUGAUGAGCGAAAGCUAGGGGAGCAAACAGG
rnacentral:rRNA from 1 species